rnacentral:misc_RNA from 1 species
AAGUCGUAACAAGGUUUCUGUAGGUGAACCUGCGGAAGGAUCAUUAAAUAAUCAAUAAUUUUGGCUCGUCCAUUAUUAUCUAUUUACUGUGAACUGUAUUAUUACUUGACGCUUGAGGGAUGCUCCACUGCUAUAAGGAUAGGCGGUAGAGAUGUUAACCGAGUCAUAGUCAAGCUUAGGCUUGGUAUCCUAUUAUUAUUUACCAAAAGAAUUCAGAAUUAAUAUUGUAACAUAGACCUAAAAAAUCUAUAAAACAACUUUUAACAACGGAUCUCUUGGUUCUC